UCGAGUUUUCAACUCCCAAACCCUAUGUGAACUUACCACACCGUUGCUUCGGCGCGCGCUCGCCGCCGCCGAGGACGUUAAACUCUGUCUUGUAUAAGCAUUUCUGAGUGGCCGCAAGGCAAAAAACAAAUGAAUCA
rnacentral:misc_RNA from 1 species